rnacentral:rRNA from 1 species
GUGUCAGCAGCCGCGGUAAUACGUAGGGUGCGAGCGUUAAUCGGAAUUACUGGGCGUAAAGCGAGCGCAGACGGUUAAUUAAGUCAGAUGUGAAAUCCCCGAGCUCAACUUGGGACGUGCAUUUGAAACUGGUUAACUAGAGUGUGUCAGAGGGAGGUAGAAUUCCACGUGUAGCAGUGAAAUGCGUAGAGAUGUGGAGGAAUACCGAUGGCGAAGGCAGCCUCCUGGGAUAACACUGACGUUCAUGCUCGAAAGCGUGGGUAGCAAACAGGAUUAGAUACCCUGGUAGUCCACGCCCUAAACGAUGACAAUUAGCUGUUGGGACACUAGAUGUCUUAGUAGCGAAGCUAACGCGUGAAAUUGUCCGCCUGGGGAGUACGGUCGCAAGAUUAAAACUCAAAUAAAUUGACGG